UGAUUGCAAACUGGUGGUGGGCUCGCUGAGGCGGCCUUGACCAGUCAUGUCCACAAGGGACGAAAGACCAAGCCGCCCGAAAGUUUCGAGGCGGCUUUUUU
rnacentral:ncRNA from 1 species